AAAUUUGAGGGUGAUUUUGCUGCAGUGUCUACUACCCUAUUGAUCACCAGCAUUGACUAGAUUGAUCUAGCUGGAUAGACAGGUGUCCCCUUCCUCCCUCACAAUUCUAUGUGUCUCUCUGGCAUGCUUGGUCUAAGAGGAUAGCCUCAAACCAAAUAGAGGAGGAGCAAUCUUUAGUGGUGGGGGUACAGCAGUAACUACCUUCAUCUCUGGAUCCUUCAAACAAGCUCUCAAAAAAAGGCCCAGCCUGUAAUGUUUCAGACACCAUGGGGCUCUGGACUUUUUA
ensembl:misc_RNA 7SK 7SK RNA